rnacentral:tmRNA from 1 species
UGUAGAUCUGCCCGAUGAAGGCUUGCGGACGCGGGUUCAAUUCCCGCCAGCUCCACCA